UAAUAUGCCGAGGUCGCAUGACUUUGGUAAUUAAAGCAGCAAUGCACUUAGAGAUGAGUGUGCGUCCCAUUAGGUAGUUGGUGAGGUAACGGCUCACCAAGCCUAUGAUGGGUAGCCGGUCUGAGAGGAUGGUCGGCCACACGGGCACUGAGACACGGGCCCGACUCCUACGGGAGGCAGCAGUAAGGAAUAUUGGUCAAUGGUGGAAACACUGAACCAGCCAUGCCGCGUGGAGGAAUAAGGUCCUACGGAUUGUAAACUCCUUUUGACGAGGAAGAAAGUGUUAGAUUUAUCUAAUUUUGACGGUACUCGUAGAAUAAGCACCGGCUAACUCCGUG
rnacentral:rRNA from 1 species